rnacentral:rRNA from 1 species
GACGAACGCUGGCGGCGUGCUUAACACAUGCAAGUCGAACGGAAAGGCCCUGCUUUUGUGGGGUGCUCGAGUGGCGAAGGUGUGUGUAACACGUGAGUAACCUGCCCUUGACUUUGGGAUAACUUCAGGAAACUGGGGCUAAUACCGGAUAGGAGAUCCUGCUGCAUGGUGGGGGUUGGAAAGUUUCGGCGGUUGGGGAUGGACUCGCGGCUUAUCAGCUUGUUGGUGGGGUAGUGGCAUACCAAGGCCUUGACGGGUAGCCGGCCUGAGAGGGUGACCGGCCACACUGGGACUGAGAUACGGCCCAGACUCCUACGGGAGGCAGCAGUGGGGAAUAUUGCACAAUGGGCGGAAGCCUGAUGCAGCAACGCCGCGUGCGGGAUGACGGCCUUCGGGUUGUAAACCGCUUUCGCCUGGGACGAAGCGUGAGUGACGGUAAUGGGUAAAGAAGCACCGGCUAACUACGUG